rnacentral:misc_RNA from 1 species
GAUGAAGAACGUAGCGAAAUGCGAUACUUGGUGUGAAUUGCAGAAUCCCGUGAACCAUCGAGUCUUUGAACGCAAGUUGCGCCCGAGGCCUCCUGGUCGAGGGCACGUCUGCCUGGGUGUCACGCAUCGUCGCCCCCUCUCCCCUCGGCUCGCGAGGGCGGGGGCGGAUACUGGUCUCCCGCGCGCUCCCGCUCGCGGUUGGCCCAAAAUCGAGUCCUCGGCGACGGUCGCCACGACGAGCGGUGGUUGAGAGACCCUCUGACACGGUCGUGCGCGCGCCUGUCGCCCCCGGGAUCUCCUGGACCCUCGGGCAUCGAAAUUCUAGGAUGCUCUCGUUGCGACCCCAGGUCAGGCGGGACUACCCGCUGAGUUUAAGCAUAUCAAUAAGCGGAGGA